UGGGUGUUGCAGGUGGGCAGGGCGGGCACCACUUUGGUGGGAAACUCCCUGGAAUUGGGAUGCUUCAAUAAACUCCCCCCUAAAUUGUGUGACAGCCCCUGGAGCCUCUGGAACCCUCUGGAAAGCAGGACCCUCAGGGUCGGCUUUUUGGGGGGGUUUUAGGGGCUUUUGGGAGGGAAAAGGGGUCCUGUGGGUGUUGCAGGUGGGCAGGGCGGGCACCACUUUGGUGGGAAACCCCCCGGAAUUGGGAUGCUUCAAUAAACUCCCCCCUAAAUUGUGUGACAGCCCCUUGGGAAUCCCUCUGGAACCCUCUGGAAAGCAGGACCCUCAGGGUUGGCUUUUUGGGGGGGUUUUAGGGGUUUUUGGGAGGGAAAAGGGGUCCUGUGGGAGGGCAGGGUGGGCACUUCAGUAGGAAACCCCCCGGAAUUGGGAUGCUUCAAUAAACUCCCCCUAAAUUGUGUGACAGCCC